AGCAAUUGAACAUCAACCACAGGCAACUAAUCAUAACUGACAUACAAUUGAGCAGCAACAAUAGGGAAGUUGAGACAAUGUUGGGCAGAUUCACUCAUACACAUAGUGCAGUGAAGUUACUUGUAUGUAGCGCUAAAUGCGCCUCUUGUUUGUGUCAUUUUUUGAUUUUUACAAAAUCAAUCAAAUAGGCAGUCCUACUAGAUCAAAAAGAAAAAAAA
rnacentral:lncRNA from 1 species